rnacentral:rRNA from 1 species
GACAGAGGGUGCAAACGUUGCUCGGAAUCACUGGGCGUAAAGGGCGUGUAGGCGGGACAGUAAGUCGGGCGUGAAAUCCCUGGGCUCAACCCAGGAACUGCACUCGAAACUACUAUUCUUGAGUGUCGGAGAGGAAAGCGGAAUUCCUGGUGUAGGGGUGAAAUUCGUAGAUAUCAGGAGGAACACCAGUGGCGAAGGCGGCUUUCUGGACGAUAACUGACGCUGAGACGCGAAAGCGUGGGGAGCAAACAGG